AUGUGUCAUCUUGGUGAGAUUUUGGAGCCUGAGGAAGUCGCUGUGCACCAGAGCAGAAAGCAGAGCUUGAAGUCCAGGCUGGCAUGGUUGAUGGCAGGGCUCUGGCCAGGCUGGGACCUGGUCCCCGGCUUCUCUCCUGCUCGCUGCACCUGCAUAGUGGUUCUUUGGACUUGUUAAUCAUGCAGGUGGCACCUCAUAAACCUGCCUUGGGGGCUCUGGGUUUGAAAACAAGUGUUCCUCAGGCCGAUUUACAGAGUGAUGUCUGUUUGACUGACAGCUGUUGCUGCUUUAUGGGAAGCCAGCACAUGUUUGCAGCAUAAAACAGGAAAACUUCUGCUUGCGUGAGAUGCUUCAGCCUUGCUCUACAUCUGGGAGGUGGUUCUUCCUGGCUGCUGCCAACCACCUUACAUGUGCUUUGGAUGCAAUUCAGUCCGUCAUAGCCCUGGUUGACUCAGUGGACAAAGUAGCAGGACCAAGCAGGCACAAAACCUGUUUCUAAUGGAGAGCUGUCACACCAUGUUAUCAUGAUGUCUCUUGGUUUUUGUUUGGUUUUUCGAUUGUUUUGUUUUCCAAUGGGUUGUUUUGCGUUGCAGGAACAUAUCUAAGAAAUCAAGAGAGAAAAAUCAGAAAUCUGGGAACCAGAUCAAGUACCAGCCACAAUGACAAAUUGGUCUGGAAAACUCUCUCCCUUCCCUCCCUGUGCUGAACCAGUGCUGAUUAGCAGUGGCACUGUUUUCUGGGGCAAUCUGCAGAAGAACAAGGUUAUCAUUACUUGACUGCAUGAGAGAAAGAGGCAGUGGUAAACAAACGAGCAUCAGAGUGGAAGACCUGAGAGCCGUUGCCAGCAGCACAAGUGCAUUCUCACACCAUGAAAAGUGAAGUGUUUAGAUCCACUUCGGUGGCUGCCCAUCUUCUAGGGUCCCAAGUGUGAAGUCCUGCUCUAUGAAUUCAGCAUCAACAAGAAGAGAUUUUUUGUAAGAUUUAAAGCCAGAAGGGAAUCAUUAAGAUCCUCUAGUCCAGGGGUGUGAAACUCAUUUUCACUGGGGUCCACAUCAGCCUCAUGGUUGCCUUCAAAGGACCGAAUGUAAAUUAGGGCUGUAUAAAUGUAACUACUCCUACAUUCAGGUUACCUGAGUCCUUAUUCACCAAGCCCAACUAGCAAAUCCAUUUACUGAAACUUUGGGCAUGGGAGUUUCUGCAAAUGCAUGGUUUCUUCUACAUACCUAUGUAUGUCUCCUUUGCUUCCCAGGUAUUCAGGCUGUAUCUCAAAGCCAUGAGGAAAGCAGCACUGACAUUUCUAAUAAUGGCAAAGAGAACCCCAGCAUGAACCAGCCACAGCUCCAAAAGUCUGUAAACUGCAGGUUGUUGGAAGCUAGGGGAGGAUGCCAGGGAAAUUACUAGCAUGAGCAGAUUCCUGUGCUCUUUCCAUCAGCAUCCAGUACUGGCUACAUCAGAGAAACCUAUAGACAAGUAUCUGCUGCUGCCUAGCAGAAUUGGUCAAUUAGGUUCUGACAUUACCUUAAAAAGCCUCCUGGUCUUUUCCAUCUGAAUGCAUUUUCCAUCUGAUUGCAUUUGGGGAGGCUAGUUGUCUUCAGUCUGUAGGUAUGUAUUCUGUUCCACCCCAGCCACCAAAACAAAAGAACCAAAAAAAACCCAAAUAAAAACAACAAAAAAAGAGCUUUUCAUGAAACUCGCUGUUACUGAAACUUGGCACAUAGAGCAGACUAUCAAACACUAUUAACCUUGCACCAAAUUUUGAGUCAGCUUUCAAGGAAUUUGUCUGAAAUUUCUAGCUGUAGUGAGGAAGACUUUGAUGGGAAAUCUCUUGAGAAACCUGUAUGCUCUGGGGAGUUCUGCUGCUUCUCGGUUCUGGGCAGCCAGCAAAUUGCGGUGAGAGCAGCUUUUUGCAAACUCUGCCCCUGCUGUCGGCUGGAACCGUGAGUUGCACAAGCCACUGACAUGAAUAAUAAUGUAUGGGAAGACAUUGCACAACACUUCCAGACCUCAAAGGAUCUGCAGUUCAUGCCAUUCAUGGGCAAAGGUUGGGCUCAUUCCGUGUUUUAGCUGGAGAGAUGCAUUUCACUGUGGCUGCUGCAUGAAGGCAAAAGCACGUGGCUGGGAUGCUUCGGGGAGGUAGGUCAUUAAAUGGUGUAGCUGUGGCUGGUGAACAGAGUGCUGCAGCUCCCAGAGGGCCCGCUGGAAGUGUGCAUUUCUCCCAGAGAACUUACCUAGAUACUGUGCUGGCCAUGUAAUAUUCAGCUGUUAUGGAUAACUUAUGAAAGGCAGAACAGUAUUAUAAAGGUGCUGCAUAAAAAUCUUGAUUUCAGAUAGAGAAACUGAGGCAUGCCACAAGUAUGAGCUCAGGAGGCUAGCAAGCCACAUGGAGGAAGGAUUAAAUCUCAUCAGGCUGUUUCUGCUAGGAAACACUGUUGCCCCAGCUCCAACAGCUGAGCUCUUGGUGGAUGCCCAGAAGGUACUGGCUGUUUUGUGUCUUACUGUUGUUUUGCUCUCUGUGUAAUAUGUCCUUCCAAGAAAAUGCCAUUUGUUUUAAAUAGUGAGCCCCUUUUUGAAACACAUUUUGUGUUUUGAGUGCAGGUCAAAUAGCAGACACUUUUGAUUAAUGCAACAUCGAGAUACUGAAAGAAAAAUAUCACAUGCCUCGGUGGGAAAAGGUAUAAAAGACAAACAUUCAGUGCUGUUCAACAUUUUGGGGAGGUGGGGAAAUGAGCAGGAAAGAUCAUACCUAAAUAGAAAGCCAAAGCCAAUGCUUGCAACUGCCAAGGCAUCAGCCAAAAGGAAAACACAACUCUGAUCGCAGUAAAAUCAUGUAUGAGUCAUGAUGGGCCAAGAACAAGUUUGCUUUUCUCCCUCAUUGAACAGAUGAUGAUUAAAAGAUAAAUCAUGCUUGGAGUCAAAUCAAGUGAUUGGAUUAAAGUUUAGUUGAGUAUUUAGAGACUGUUUGGGACACAAUGGAAAGCUAAUUGAAAACUUACAUUUGUGAGACCUUUGAACUCUCCAGCUCUUAAUAAAAUACUACUGCAAAGUACACAAGGGUUCCCUGUGGGAGAGAUUCCUCUCCACAAGUGCUUUUAUUUCUCAGGUAUGUGGAAAAAUGGUAUUCAUUUUCUCUACAAGUUCACCAAAGAAAAGUAUGUUCAUGAUUGUAAUUCAACUAUUGCUUAUGAUGCAGUAACUUAAUCUAUUCAGCUCACUGAAAAUCAGUGAAGCAAUACAAAGGAAAGUCACUUCUUUAAAAAAUGAAAAUUUAAACACUUCAUUCUUUUAACUAGUCUUUGCUCUUCUGUGCAGCUGGUUUUCCAGAGUGACUGGCUGCCUGCAUUGGGCUGAAGUGACUCUGGAGUCUUAAAAACUGUGUAAAAAUUCCUUCUGGAUGUGCUGUAGUAGGAAAUGUCAUGCUUUAUUUGUAUUAAUAAUAUAAUUGCAUUCUGGAAUCAACCCCAGUUCUUAAGGAACAUACCCAGUUUCCAGCUUCAAAGCACCAUCCUUUUUGGUGAAAAUACCAGUGAAACCCACAAAUAAAGAGAAUGAACUUCCCCAUGUCCAUACACACACAAACACACAGAAACUAAAAACCUGGUUCUUCAUUUGGCUUCUGUGUAACCAAGCACAAAUCUUUCACGGUAAUCCUUAGCAUUGAAGUGUAGCCCCAGAAACUCUGUAGUUGGGUUGAUUUGGCCCCUUGCCCUUUCUAACUCUUGCAGAUUCUUUGUCUGAUUUCUUACUGCCCUGGAGAAGGGGAGAUCUUAGGUGGCAACAAGGCAUUUUGCAGCCAGAGCCUGCAUGCCACAGGGUGUUAUAAGAGAGCAGUCUGGCUUUCAUGAAAACCCAACCCUAUGGAAGCUACUACCAGCAGAACAGAGAAGCAGGGUUAUUCACCAACCCUCACAUCUGCAGGUCAGAUGUGAACCCACACCAUCUAGGUUUGCUUCCAGGAGGACAAAAGGGGCAGACCUCAGUCUUCACGAUGGCAGGACCUGGGCAAACUGCAGAGUUUCAUGGCCUGUUGGUCCAAAAAUGGCGAUGAAUGAGUCUUAAGAGCUGUCUUCUCCUCCAUAUGCAAGAGUUUAUAUUUCUCCAACUAUCUUGACCUUUAGGAUAGUUUUUCUGUAAAAGGAUGAGUGCACAGAGACCAUAGGUGAAAAGUUUAAGUAUAGAAGGUUUGGAGGGUAGAAUGGGAGUAGAUUAUGCUUAUUUUAGAUGAUGAUUAUAAAUUACUUUUCAGAUACGCUUUUCAGAUUGACACAGAUAAAUCUAAGGUAAACCUGACCAGGUAGUUUUGUAGGUGUGAUCCCAGUGUGAUCAGUAUGAUGCUUUAAACCCAUGGAGUUUAGCAUUGGUCAUAGUCCUAUAGUUCAGCCAGAAGCAAUGCAGUGCCACUAGAGAAUCAGAUAUGUUGCAAAAGCAAAAACUCUAAAAUGUUCCCAAGCCCCCAAAUAUGUCUUGCUGUUGGACAGUGUAGCUGCACAGGGCUUCAGGAGACCAUGCAGUCCCUUUUCUUUCCCUAAUGCAUGACCAAUGGCACCUUUUUAGUCCUAACAGACAUGUCUUACCUAUUCAUAGAGGCUGGCAGUGAUUGCAGCCUUAGUACUUUUCCAUCCUUACUAACAGAAGAUAUUUCCUAAUGUUCAAACUGAUUUUUUCCCUUGCUUCCACUGGUGUGUGUGACUCCACAGUCUGUCCCCAUGUUCUGUCUUCCUCUUUGCCAUUUAUUUAGGUGGUGGACUUAGCAUGGCUCGCUUUAACAUUUCCACAUAGGUCAUGUGUCUUUGACCUCCUGCUGUUCCCUUUCCUGGGCUACAUUUCAGACCAACAGGUCAAGUAGUCACAGCGGAGCAAGUUGGUACUGGGAAUAGUCCAACUCCAGUGACUCUACAUGAAUUACCUCACCUUUGCCAAGGUGGGAAGGGUACUGUGCAGAUGAAGGAGCUUCAGCCUACGGCAUCAAGGUCAUCUGUGAGCACUGGAGAUCCUGCAUGUGAAAAAAACUGCUUCAGGCCACUGAGGACUGAAAAGGAUCAAACAAGAUCUUCCUGACUUGUCCCCCACACAACUUCUUCCGGAAAGGAUGCCCGACAGACCAUGGAAGAACCAAAUGCCAGCAUGCUGGAGCCUUUAUAUGCUGUCCUCUCACAUGUCGGAGCCAAUUUCUUGCAUCUCCUGCUGCAUGCGUUGGCAUAAUGAUCAGAUAUGGACCUUAGGGAUGCUGCACUCAGUGCUCAGGAUGGGCUGGUUGACUCAGAAUUGAAAGCAAGAUUCAGAAUCACUUAUAAGUAUUUGCAAGAUAUUCUUCAGGAUGUAAAGUAGUGUUUAAUAUUGCACAGAAGGCCACAGCUUUUGUCUGGUGUGAAUUUUCUGUUCUUAAGCACUUUGGGACUUUGAAAUGGCAUGGAAGUUGUAAAUGACCAUGUAAGCAAGCAAGUGGAAACCAUGCUGGGAACUGCUUUAAGAAUAAUGAGUUGAUGUGUCCCCAGACCUGCAUGUGUUCACUUCCACUAUUUCUGCAAAUCUCUGGGUGUUUUAAUCUUUUCCUUAUAGAUGAUGAAUGCAGCUUUAGGCUAGAAUUAAGGUAUUCUGAACCCAAAAACUUGGCAACUAUUGCACAGGUACAGCCAAUGCAUGAAAUACAUUUUCAGAUUCCUCCAGCAUCUGAGUUUUCCUUUUUGGUGGCCUUGCAGCCACAACUGUUUGACAGGACUAAGCACCUUGAUGCUUUACUUACUCCCCUAACUGACAGAAAUGCCAAAAGUGGGUAUGUCUGAAAAGAUGCUCUUCUUCCCACAACUCUAGUCAACAGUGCUUGCCUCCACCUGGGCAUGCAGGUAGACUUAGCCAUGCUGUGUCCUCUAGCCAUGCCCAGCACACCUGGCAGACAUGCUCAGAGCUCAGCCAGACACAAGAAUCCACAUGCAAUGAUAGUGUAUGAAAUGCUCAACUUCUAUCAGGUCAGGAACAAGAAAAUGCAGCAGAAAUGCAGCCCAACUUUACACCACAAGCCCACUGUCACAUUGCUGUGUAGCCGGUGUGAUCGUGGUCAUUACUAUGUAUGGCCCACCAUGUCUGUCUGAAAAGUCUGCGUAGUCCCUGGCAAAGAGAUCUUCCCAGACGUGCUGCAGAGACUUUGCCCAUCAUGUGAUGUGUACAGCAUUUUUUCCCCUUUGUUCUAGAGAGGAGUGUUUCGCCCAUGAUUACUUGGACACGUUGCAAAAAAAUAAAGCAUUGCAUUAUGAGAAAGGGAGCCACUCAUUUACAAAAAAAUGCAAAAAGUCACGUAAAAUGUGAAAUAAGUAUAAAAAAAAAGAAUUCCUGUACAAGAUCCAGCUGCAUGAAAAUCCCCAUAAAUUGUGAAGAUUUCAGCGCUGCGAUGAAGUCAUGCAAUCAGGAAGAUUGCGGUGUCUUGAGGAAUGACGCAGCCCGACUUGCAGCCCACACGUAGUUUCCCUGUCACGGCAACACGACAGGCUGGGUGAAGUCCUGCAGCCAUUGCAUUCCUUCAGUCUGAGCCCCUCAUCCCGCUUCAUGCAUGCCCGUAGCUUGCAGGUACGGAUGUGGUCAGGCAGGAGAGGGAAUGCGGAGCUGGGCAGGCAGGGCUGUCGUGGCAUUUUUUCUGAGAAACAGAAAUAGAAAUUCAAGUUUUUUCUGUUGUUUCUUGCCAUAACAUUCAUCGUGGCUAAUUAAGCUUACAGCUAUGAUUACGACCCUGCAGCUCUGACCUUGUAGUGCAGAGAAAGAUGCUACAUGCUUUGCACCUCCCAUCCCCUUUCCAGCAGAGGUACCCAGGAAGGGGGUGCCAGGAAGGGACUUCAUUUGUCACUUGGCAUCUUCAGGAAUCCCUCUGUGCCUGUGCUGCACCAGGGCUUUUGACCCAGGCCAAGGCAUGCCUACUGAAGCACUGCAGAUGCUUUUGAUGUCCCACGAAAGACUUGCUUCUUUUGUGUUUGUGUAUGUGCUGUGCCACAUCAGUUACAGAAAAGUGAAAUGUGGCUCCCACAACCACAGAGGGCUUCAGAGAGGGCUAUGGAUCUGCUGAUCUGGGUCAAACCUAUAUCUGAGAGGCCACCAAGGUCAUAGGAAGCUAGCAGAGAUGGUGCCAAGUGGUGAGGAAAGGGUACCACCAGUCAUGGAGUGACACCAUCAAAAAGUACCAUCCAGUUGCUUCCCAACCACCUCCUCAUGGUGAUCUGAAUUUCUCCAGCUCCUGGUCAUUGUUUGCUUUUAUUUUAUUUGUGGUUUUCUUGUGGUGGAGUCUCACUGCCUGCUCAGAGGGUUGGCUCACUGGUCUUCAUAUUUUCCAAAACCACCUAACCUUGUUUACAGUUAAUUUGUGGGGCAAGGCUGAUCAACAGCCGGCCUCCCACCUGCUGUCCUUAGUCAGUGAGGAACAGGGACAGCGAGUUCUCUCACCCUGUAAAGAGAGUCAGUGCCCAGCAAAGCCAUGAAGGGUUCGUGGAAGCAGGACAGCAGCAGAGCCCGGCAUGGCUGAUGCUGCACCGCUGUGUGUUAGGAGCAGAGUUCUUUCCCCAGAAGCGUCCAAACACGCAGCUCAGCAGCAGCUCAGUGCUUCUGGUGCAGUAAGAUUUGACAGCAUGAAAAGCUCUUCCCGGGCGAUUUCAGGAGUUGUUUUAGCAUUUCUGAAUCUUGCUAACAAAAGCCAUGUUGGUGCAGAAGAAUUUGAGCCUUCUGUAUGACCUCUAUGAAUUAGAAGAUGAAGGUAAGGGCAGUAUGAAGGAGCCCAGGGGUGUUCCUUGCACUUCUCAUGUGUGAAGGCAACCAAAAGCCACCCACUGUACCUUAAUCCUUACCUGUAACUGAUGAACUGUGUUACACUAGACAUGAUAAAAAAAUAAUUCUCCUCCUAAUGGUGAAAGUUUUAUCCUGUCUUCUGGCUCCUCUGUGCACUGGAAGCAGAAACUGUGAUAUGUUGCACCAAUUACUGAUAUGCUGAUGCAUGAAAUUGUCAUUGCUGUUGCAAACUUACUGCAGGACCUCUAUUGUCUGUCUUGUUUAUAUUGAACUAUGUCGUAUCAAAAUCAGUAAGGAAUCAGCUUCAGUUUGCAUUUGCAUCCCUGAUUGUUCUGAAUGAUGUUUCUGUGUGCCUAAAAAAAAAUCCCCAUUUAUGGAGGACUGAAGCGCAUGCUUAACUCUAAACGUGUUCAGUGAACCCUUUUCAGAUACGGAUGCAUCCUAAACAGUGUGAAAUAUGUGCAGGGUUACGUGAGGGCCAGGAGAAUUGGUGCACUGAACAAAAUUCAUCUCAGAGUGAAGCUGACAGCACUCUUGUGGUAAUGGUCUUCUUGCAUGCAUCUACAUUACAGACGGUGCAGCUGGUCCCAGGCCUUUUUUCACUGCCUCUUUAGCCACAGGGCUGUAGACUUUGCUACUGCUAUUGCUCUCAAAAUGCUGCAACUUCACUCACUCAGCCCUCAUGUUUUGAAUCACUGUUGCUUUGAGGGGGGAGGAAGUUGCUUUCCAUCCCCUGGAUGUUAUUAAGAAAAAUCACGAACUGUCUGAUUAUUAUUUUUCCUUUUUUUUUUUUUUUUUUGGUCUUAAAAUGCUGAGAUUAAUGAAUGUGCUAAGCCUCACACCACCAGAAAUCCAAGGAAACAGAACAUCUAUUUAUAAAAAUAAAACCACAAAUUGCCCCCAGCGUUCACGCAUCAUUAGAAAGCUAAACCAUGGCCCCAGAAAUCAACCCCUUUGGUCUGAACAUGUGCUCACAGCACGGGGAGGAAUGGACUGACACAAAGCCACACUGUAAGGAGGUGCACAGAGAAGCAGCCAAGGCACUGCCCAACCUCUGCAGCAUGGAAAACCCAGGAGGUAAACCAGUCCCACAGAGACCAGGAAGGGUAAUUUAAAAAAAAAAAAAAAAAAAAAGGCAAAAAAGCAAAAUUUGGGGGACAUCUUCCAGUCUUCGUCACUGGUGUUUGCAUAGAUUGUUUGGGGAAAAGGGAAGGAGGAUGGUGAAUGAAGGGCUGCCUGGAGCCCAUAAGCACCUUCCUGGGGAGAUGCUGGAUUCUGUGCUGGAUCCCACCUUGGACCAGCACUAGCCUCUUUCAAGGGAACAGCCUCCCAGUACUCCUCCUGUGCACCCUGGCUGAGCAGUCACUUGCUGAGUUUAAAUGACACAAGAGGGAGGAUGCUGUUUGCAUGUGAUCUGGGCUGCCACUUGUUUUGCUCCCCUGAAAUCAACUUGUCCUCAAGCACAAGCAGAAGAGUUUUAUCUGGCUACAAUUCUGAAACUUGGUUCAUAUCAAUUAAGCUUUUAAAAAUACAGCCCUUAUGGCCACCUCCGUUUGUUAGUAAUGGAAGAUUAUAUAUGGUAAUUAGGGAACAAAUAUAGCCUAAGCAAAUAUCCCUUUUCUUGCGCCUAAUGAAGCUUUUUUGAUGUCUUAUCAAAAGGAUCUGCUACAAAAGAGCAACACCUGCUGAACGUGGCAGCAAGACAAAAGGGGUGGCAGAAGUAAUAAAACAAGAGCUCGCAAGGCGGUAUCUGGUACAGACAGCCUCAGCCUUAGACCCCUGCAGCACUGUCGGUUCAGUCUCAGGAGCCUGAGCUCUUGAACAGGCUGUAAAGCUGUCUGGACAGCAAAGCUGUCAGGUGCAGUAGGAUCACAGCAGCCUCGACUUCCUAGCGUGUAUAAAGAUGAAAGGAGAAAAUAGACACACAUACACAUGCUAUCAAAAGAGCAGAUGACUGCAUCCAAUGGCCAGCACAGGCUGCUUCUUUCUUUGCUUUGCAAAGCGCGCCGAGAUACAAUUAAGGUCUAAUGGCAAUUAGACCCCUAGCAAUAAUGAAAUAAGUAGACCUAAUUCUCUGCUAGACCUUGCCCAGGUUUUCCCCCAGGAAACAAUCCCUUCUCUUCUCUCACUCUUCUUAUUUUUAUUUUUGUUUCACUAGACUUAGGGGGAAUUUUACUAUUUUAUUGAUGAAAAGAGGGACUUCUCUGCUCUUCAGUAAACCCACAAAAAAGAAACUGAAAACUGACAUUUCUGUGAAAACUGUCUCAGGGGCAGGGUGGGAGAGAAAAAGAUGUCUUUCAUUACAUCUUGUGAAUGAGAAAUUUUUUACCCUCUUCCUUCAAAUGUAGAUCUUGUGGUCUCCCUCCUCAUAGGGAGCAGUGUAAAUAUAGCCUUUGCCUUUCCCCAGUUUAAUCCUCAUCUUCACCAUUGCAGGAUCGCUCCAGCAAAUACCUGGGAUUAGAGAUCCAGAGUUUUCCUGACUCACAGAGAGCAUUUGGACCAAAGUGAAGCACUUUGAGAAUAUCACCCACAAGGGAUGAAUCUCAUGUGGAUUUGCAGUUUCUGCAGAAAAUCUGAGCAGGUCCCUCAACUGGUCUGUCAAAGUGAUCUGUUGAUGACAUCUCUCGCUGCAGAUGAUCUUUUAAGCUAUGUGGGGUAAUGCGUUUGUGAAGGAAAAGGACAAAGGCACACUGAGCAUGCUUCUUGACAUGGUGACCAGUCCCUGCUCCAGUGGUAUCAGUGAUGCUCUGUCCCCACUGAGUGUGGUUCUAUGAUUUAUGGUUCUAAACAUGCCCAUUGUGGGGGGAGCAAGACCCGCUGGUAGCUCACCAUGGGACAACCACACAGGAAGGGCCAAAGUGAUGAGUUUGUGUCCAGCAAAUUUACAGCAUGGUUGUUUUCCAGAUGUUUGUGAAGUGCCUAGUACCACCUCCAGUGCUGCAACACAAGGUGAAAAGGCAGAUGUAGCUGUGGGGUAUGAUAGAUAGGCACGUCCUGCCACAGAUGACACUGUUGCUUGACCCUCUAUCUGCCUCUCACUGUCCAGAGUCCCACUGGGACAGGCAGGAGGAUGAGAAAAGAAUCCAAUUAAAUUUGUCCUGCCCCAAGCCUCAUGGUUGCAAAGCAACCAGAUGAAAAGCAGGUUGCAAACUGCUCUGCCCCUGCUCUGCCCCUUCUGCACUCCCUGGAAGCUUAAAAUCCUUGGGUGCUGUGAGCGAGAUGCUCUGGCAGCCAGACCAUGUCGUCUUUGAUCCACUGUGCUCCAUUUUCUACACCCUGAAAUUCUUUGGUUGAACUCUACUCCAACAAAGGUCUCAUGCCUAGUCCAGGAGGAGAUGUGAAUUUCUGGUCUUAACUGGGAUGCUGAUGGUCUGGGUGGCUGCGGGCAGCUCCACUCAUCUCUGUGUCUGGCUGUAUAGAGGGCAGGGAAACCUUCACCUCUGUGGUAGAGCUAAAGGCUGCUUGGAAAGCCCAUGGAUUGCAGGUGGGAGGUGAUGGCAAGCUGGAGAGCAUUGUUGUUUACUCACCCAUCUCUUAGUUUCAGCCUGUUUACGGCAGAACUAAUCCAUGCUCGCAAAGGGAAGGCAGGACGCUCAGAGCUGUCAGCACACACAGUUCCCAAACCCAUGAAUCAAUCAUCGCGAGUCCCAAACACAAGCAUAAAAUAUCUCAGACAAACUCAAUUUUCCAGCUUUGGAACAGGGUCCUUUUCUUUGACUUUUUCAUUUUACCAUUUUAAGUCCAAGAUUUAGUGCUGAACUGACAGGCUUAACUUGUAAAGUAACUGGCAAAUCUUGAAAGAAUUGUGGUUUUCUUCUUCCCAAAGGACAUUGCAAGUGACAUGGUUUUUCACUUUAGUGAUAGAUGGUACUUGCAGGCAAGUAUUUAGAUAUCUAAGUACUAAAGCAGCCACAGGUCUGGUUCCUAUCAAUAAUACAUUUUGUCACAGAGAAAUUGAAACAGCAUGGAUACCACACAUAGAAAUGGAAGGGCAAAUUAUACAUAAAAUUAAUUUUCCCCAUAAAGGCACAUAGUUUCAGCUGUCUCAGUUCACAGGAGAGUCAGUGGAUGUUCAUUUCCUGGGGAUUGCCCGCCCCUAAGUUUUACCUUUGUUUUUCGGAUACCGGUGAACAGUCUCUCAAAGCAGCGCAUGGGUGGAACCAUGCAAUCACAAUGGAAUUAGAAAAAAAAAUACAAAACCCCAAUUCCCUACCCCCACAAGCCAAACUAAUGGAGCUGAUUUGAUUGAAAUGUUUUUAAACCAAAGCCUGGAACUGAGAUGAGUAAUGAGAUGUGAAAGCAGGCAAGUGGCACGUGCCCUUGAGUGUCAGGGGAAAUAGUUCACCCAGCUCAAGGUACCACUGAGAUCUUCCUUGCUGAGCCUUCAGAGCAGUCACACAAGUUUAUGGUCCUCUACCUGUCCUCUGGGCAUUGGAAAAGCAGCAAUCACUCCUCAUUGCAGAGGGGAUUAUCAGGUUCUAGAACUAGUCUCAGCUCCUUCCCUUUUCAAGUCUUCCUGGAGUCUGUGAAGUAAGAGGAGCUUUUAUUAUCUGGGCAAAAAUGCACUGAAUUGCUCUCUUUUCAGACAAAAGAGUGUCCAAAGCUGCUAUUUCCCUGAAUAAAUGUAUCCGAAGGGCACAAGCAGUGUCUGCUCUCUGCACAAAUAUCUAAGGGGUAUGUUGUGUUGUACUUCUGGGACUUCCAGGAUCAGCAUCCAAUUUGGGUGUAAUGUUUUGCCAGGGAAACUACUGGUUUUCUCCACGCACCAGAAGAAGCUGUCAGACCUCAGAGAGGAGUUGUCCUUUCAGUAGUGCCUUGUGUCAGAGCUGUGGUGAACCUUCUCCGAGUCCUCCCAAAAGCUCCAUGGAAAGCCCCAGCCAAACAGUAGGAGACCUUCUCCCUCUCUGCAACUGUCUGAAAGGAGGUUGUAGCAUGGAGGGAGUUGGUCUCUUCUCCCAAGGAACAAGCGACAGGACAAGAGGAAACAGCCUCAAGUUGCACCAGAUGAGGUUUAAAUUGGAUAUUUGAAAAUAUUUUUGCAUGGAAAGGGUUGUCAGGCGUUGGAACAGGCUGCUCAGGGCAGCAGUGGAGUCACCAUUCCUGGAGGGGUUGAACAGACAUGGAGACAAGGUUCUUAGGGGCAUGGGUUAGUGCCAGGGUUGGGUUAACGGUUGAUGAUCUUGAGGGUCUCUUCCAAUCAAAAUGAUUCUAUGAUUCUAUUCUAGGAUUAGCACUUCCUCCACAGGCAGAGGGAGUCCAAAUCGUGCCAGAAACGGCCAUAGAUAGGAAGAGACAGCUCAUGAUAACAGUCACCUAAAGGCAACAUUGUGGCUCAUGCCCCCUUGGAUGGCUCUUGCAGCACCUUGCAGCUCUCAUGUCCUGAAAUGACCUUCUGGUUUCUCACUCACAUUGCUUCAUGGCCCAUGGUCUUCCUCUGAUAUUAAAUGCUCAUUCCUCUGUGGGAUCACAAGUCUGGUGUGGUGUCUCCUCACUGGGCCCUGGGUGUGCCUGAAGAAAUGAGCCUUUCAAGGAGUUCUGGGUGGGCUCCUGGGACCCACCUGGCAUUUUUAAGGAUUUCUGUGCACACUGAACACCAAACUGUCUGGCGUAAAGAACUACUGAGUAAGGCAAUGAGGCACCCAGUGGCUUUAGGCACUGUCCAAGGAUUUGUACACUGACAAUUUGGAGUCGAGCAUCUCAGUGGCCCAAGUCCUAAGCAACUUGGUAGGUGAUAUAAAAGGUGUUUGAAACAUAUCUCUGUCUUGUCUAGUCAGGAAUGUCCUCCUUUUAUACUGUCAAGUGUAGCACAGACAUAGACAAGCUCCAUUAGAUCAUCCAUGUUCCACAAAACAUGGCUGGGUUUGGUUAUCUCUUUGCAGGUUUUCCCCUGUUCUGUCUUGCUCCAUUUCGCUGGUAACAGGAGAUUUCUUAGGGCAGUAACUGAAUCUGCUUUCUUUGCUUGGAAGACUAGAACUAUGUUACUGUUCCCCACAUUCUGAUUCCCAAAAAUGCUCUGUCUCAUCAGUGACACAGAAACUUGCUUCACUAAUACUCAAAGGCAUUUGGAUACAGAGCUGGCUGGAAAGUAGUGUUCACCAACAGAAAUGUAGCAUUGCAUUUUCAUUGAAAUUUAUUUUCUUAAUGAACAACAAAUCUCUUAUACUUGAUUUGACAAAAUAUUGGGCUUAAGAGUGUUAACUGGCACUAUUAAUGACAUGUGUGGCCUGUAUUUGUUUACCUUCUCUUAAUUAACAAGGAAUGUUUCAAGAUGCGUCACCCUUCUUAAUUCUUUGGACAUCUCUCUAUUUUUUUCUAUUUCGUUGUGCCAUAUUUAGAAAAGACUUCUUAAACACUUCCGAGUUUUAUAAAUUUUAUUUCCUAGUGCAGUCAUCUCGUGGCUUCUCUGGGUCUGAGGCUUUUCUGCCUUCAGUUUGGAAGCAACUGUUGCUAAGGGACUUUCAUAAAGCUGAUGAGAUGGUUUCCCUUCAGACAAAGGGAUUACAGGGGGGCCAGAGCCAGGCAGAGUGACUCUGUGUUAUGCUCCUGAUAGAAAAAAAAAAAUAAAUAAAUUAGGAAUUCUAGCAGCUAAAGUCCUGAUUUUGAAAAGAAUAAAUUUAAAUCCUUUUCCUGCUAUGCACUUUCUCCACAACCUUGGGUCCAUUUCUCAGCACCUGCCAUCACUCCCCAACCUUGGAGCAGCGGUUGGAGCGCAAAGGGGUCUCAUGAGGUUAAAAACAGCAAGUGCCAUCUAGUGCUUUAGCAACCCUGAUUGCCCACUGUUACUGGACCGUAAAGGUCAAACCCCAGUUCCAGGCUCCUCCUUUUUACUACACUUUUUAUUAUUAUUUUUUUUCGUCUGGCUCUGCAAAGACAUAACUCUGUGUCUAGGGCUAGAUAGCACCAGGCAUUUCAUUGGCCUUAUAGGAUUGCAGCUUGCCUGUGAAAGCUGGCCAAGUGAAAACCAGCCAAUAAUGUCUUUUUUGAGUGGCUUAAGCCGGUAUUUUUAGCAUUUCUAUUUAAACCAACGCUCAAAAAUCAGAGCAGGUAAUCACAAAUUUCAGCAUCAAGUAAAUUAUUAUAGCCAUGCUAUAAACCUGUGGGGAUUUGGGGAACAAAGUUAUAAUGAGUUCUGUGCCAGAGCCGGAACGUGGAGCCCUGAGCUCGCCUUUAGGAAAGAGUAAACUGGGCACUGCUUUAAAAACCAGCAACUAGCAUGGAACAAAUUAAAAAGGGAAGCGGCAAACUCCUCUGGGAUUCCAUAACUAUUUAAACAUUCCUCUGGGACAUCUGAAGUUCGGAGGAAAGGGGAGAGGGGCGGGAUGUGUGUAAAAAAAAAUGUUGCUAACUUAUAAGGAAUGUUAGCAAUAAAAAGGGACCCAUACGCGUGUGCCAUACCCUGAAUUAAUCAGAAAGCAGAUGUGUGCGUCUGCAGCCUCAACUUUUUCCCCUUGUUUUCUCUUCUGUUUCCUUCCUCCCUCUUCCUCCUCUCCCUCGCUUUUACAGUGGUUACACCUGCAUGAUGGAAGGAGCAGAGAGGGAGCUGCAAAGCUCAAAGCAUUUGGUGUGUUAGGUCAGAGCACAGAACAAUAGCACCAUAAAUCAUAUUUGGGGAGGAAACGGGGUGGCUAAUCCAAAAAUAAACCAUGUGUGAGUUUUAUUUAGCUGUGUUGUUGCUGAAGGGAGUUCACAACAGGGUAGAAAUAACACAGUGUUUUGGGGUUUGCCUCUUUCUCUGCCCUCUCCAGCAUAAUGAGCCAUGGGUCACACUCAUAGGGUGCACAGGGUCCCCACCUGGCACUGUCCCUUCUCUCUCUGUGUUGCUUGUCCCUCUUGGAGGAGCCACUGAGAGGUGCCAAGGGAUCCCAGUUGUCUACUUUGGCCCAGACUGGCCUUUAGCUGACUACUUCCUGUGAAAAUUGCUUUGUCUCCAACUAAGAAGGCAGGUCAGCUUCCCAAAAAACCCAGGAACCCAAAUCUAUCUUGCCUGUCAGCCUUUAACAUGCCCUUGGCUUGUGUGCCUUUGUGUGUUUGGGGGAGAAGCUGAAAGGUCUUCUCAGCCUUUAACACCAAAGUGAAGGAUGUGAGGUUUUGGUUUAUUAACAGAAGAAAAAGAGGAGAAAUAAAAUUAAAAAAAAAAAAAAAAAAAAGGCAACAACUGCCUAAAGCCCAAGUGUGACAUAAGGAGCCUCGAGGCAACAUUCAUCGUGUUUUUAAUGUGGUUUCCUUCAUCUCCGCGGGCUUGCCUGUUUGCUAGAGUGGAUUGUAUUUAGAUGAUGUGUUUACCAGAUCAACAGGAGGAUUCCCCCCCUCCCCCAUCAGAUCCACUACCCCAUAACUGAACCUAACAACAAAAUUAACAAAAAGAUCCAAUUUGUUCUUUAAAAACACAGCUCUGCAGCACAGUGUCAUUUUGUCCUCAUGCUAAUUCCAAGAAAGCAUUUGGCCUCAUUACUCAUCCCUGGAGGGACUGGAGAUGAGCAGUGCUUUGAUCCCUAAAAGCCCUCAGAAGUGUGACAUUUCAAUUUCAGAUUCAGAAGAUUGCAUGUUGGUCCCAAAAAGAAAACCGUUCCUCAUGUUGAAACAGUGUUGAUGCUUACCAGGUCACUUCAGUGUCUGAGAAACAAAGAUGGCAGAGCAGUCUUUACCAGCAUUACCUAAGGCCCCCUCGUUCUGUGUCCAAGCGUGCAUCCCAGACUUCGGCAGCCACUGUCAAGCUGUCCCUGCACAGACUGGCUGUGGACAUGCACACAGAUUAUUUUUCCGUUUAUUGUCAUUAAGAAACAGUGAUUCAUUUACAAACCAUUCCCGUUCAAAUUGGGAUUUUUAUGUUGUAUACCGCAUGAGAGAGAGAAAUCAGGAGCAGUAGCUAUAACCUUGCAGAUAAACUGUUCUACACGCUUGGCUGUCUUAAAUCUCAUAUGAUGUUUAUAAAGCUGUGAACCAACAGCUUUUGAACCAGUGUGUCCUAUGGAAUAACAAUGCCUCAGGCUUAUCUUUCAGAGAGCUCAAAGCUAGUUUUAAAUGUUUUGGAGCAUUACCUUGAUUUUGGAGAUGGGAAAACAGAGUUACAGAGAUGGAGAUUGAGGAGUACGAAGAAAAACAGUCUGAAAACAGAACCAGAUCUUCCCAGAAUUUAUGCUGGAAAGCAAUGCGAAGCAAAUUACAUCUUGGAGGAAUUAAAUGAGAUUCCCAAAGGCUCAAUAUGGGACCCUUUGCUAUUAAACCCCAGCAGAGACUGUAUGGUUAGCUGCAAUGAAGUUUUCCCAUCACAAGACAUCAAGUGAAAGGGAGUUGAGUUGGCCAGGGUUGCAGCAGAGCUUGCCUGGGUCUGUGGUCCAAGUGGUUCAUUUUUAGCUCAUGUUAGUAAGGGAUCCUGUGGGUCAUCUCUAGAGGCUGUUGGGUUUUGAAUGUAAGAGUUCAUUUCCAACAGACUCUCCGGGAUCUGAUGGAGCUGGGGUGAAGUAAGUAGCUUCAUUUCUGCAGAAAGUGAAGGGAAUCCCUUGACAUGGUGAUUUAUUUUUCUUUUUAUAAUAAUAUACAAAGACUACAUCAAUGCAGAAACGGUUGACCUUGCCAGACAGCAAGACAUGGGCAGAAAUUUUUGCCAGACUUUCAAAGAUGUGGGUCUCCCUAACUUGGUAGAUAAAGCCUCAGAGGAGAUGGGGAAGCACAUUCAGAAAGCCAGACAGGGGUGCAUAAGAGCAACCUUCCUAAUUUGGAUGAGACAGUACAGAUGUGUACUGACCUGUGUUAUUUAACAGAGAGACUAUUAUUGAAGUAUGAGUCGGAAAAGGAGGAACUGGGGAUACUUAGGUCUUAUUUGGGCAGUUACACUCAGUAUUGGACAGUUCUGGCUUUGGAAGCUCUCCAGAACAGGUGUUUAUCUUGCUUUGAGCCCAGCUGUGCUUUGCAAAGUCAGGGGCUUGGCUGAAGCUUAUGAACAAAUGACUUCACCUAAGUUAAUGUUGCAUCCAAGAUAUGUUCACCCUGGCUUGCUUACUUCCUAGCCUCACAGCUAAAAAGCUUUGCCUUCACUUUUUAAAGUGAGAAGUACCAGAUAAGCCUGUGAGUAGAAGUAUUUUCAUUAUUGUGUAUGUGGGAAUUGGUAGAUUUGGUGUCACCUAAAGGGCUCUUUGUCCCAAGGCUGCUUGAACAAGGAGCUGACCAUGAGCCCAUCUACUUCAUCUCUCCUGAUGAACUGCUGUGCACAUCCUGCUCUAGCACAUUCCCCAUGUCCCCUACCCUUGCUGUGCUAGGGAGGUCUUCUUCUUCCAGCUGUCACCUUGGCUCUCCCUGUGCUGCCCUGUCCUAUGCUGGAUGGCCUUUCUGAAGCAUCACAGGUUGUCUCUCACCCAUGGGGUGCUCUUGGUAAGCACAAGGUAGUGCCUGCUCUAGUUCCUUUGUGCUCAAUGCAAACUGCAGCAAACAAUUAAUGAAAGAAUUGCACACAAGUAUGAGAUGUCCCCAAAGUUGGCUUCAAUGAGAUUUUGGAAGUGAAGUAAAGGGAAUGUCCAGAGAGAGAAAAACAGAUGUCCAUCUGCCUGAGCCUGCGUAAGCAGCCACCAAGUCAGGAAAACAAUCCACCAACUUGCAGUACAAUUGAAGAUUUCUUGGGUUUGGAGGAAAUGUCUACUCCUUAACCCCCCAAAAAGACACACCCAAGCAUGCCAAAAACCUGAAGAAAAGCUUUGACGCUCCACCAGCGAUGACUUGAUGACAAUAGCGGGCAUGUAGCAAUUCAAGGCAAUGCAGUGACCUGCAAAAGGAGGAGAGCGCAGCCCCAGUGAUGACUGCAGUGAUGAACACGGUGUCAGACAGUGCAAGCUCACCUGCUGCUGAGAAAAAAGUGUUGGAAUUUCCAGGCACAUUCAUCCCAUGCGAAGGACCAGCCCAUGGAGCAGGAGAUGAGUAUCACCAGGCCCUUCAAGAAAGGAUGCUGCUCUUGACUGAAGUUCAGGAUGGUUUAAGCCAGCAGAGGAUAUGCCCUGAAGACAUUGCCUGAGACUUGAAGCUGGACCUAGGUGUCCUUGACUCUUUCUCCUGGCAUGCAGCAGCAAGCAGAGCUUCUCUUUUGCCAGUGUAGUUGUCAAAGAAGUAACUCGAGACACAAAGCUCCCCUGAAUGUUUUACUCAAUGAAUUUGCAAGAAGAAAUGACAGCUCACGCUCCUGAUCUGCCUUCUGCACCAUCUCAGAACCAUCACUGCUCUCCCACAGCAGCGGGACCCAUUCUUCCUUCUCCUGAUUGAAUGUUUCCCAGAGUGUCUAGACGUGUCGCCACCACCACUGAGGAGCUGAGAGAUACUAGGACUCAUCCAAAGAGCUGUAAAGAGUAAUGGAAUUGAGUGGGAAAUGGUUUUGUUGCCUCUCAGAGUGAAAAAUGUUUCCUGAGAUUCAAAAAAUGUGGUUGCUCCACUUGAGGAUCAAAGCUUCACAUUUUCUUGAUGGCUGCUAAGAAGAAUGAGUAGUCCAAAAAGCUGAGUUGUCAGGACAUCCACGGGGGACCUGAGACCUGGACAUCUGCCACCCUCCAGGCAGGGACCUCAGCCAGGAUUCACCUGAUCUGCAGGGCCAGCGAUGGAAGAUCAGGGGACUUCUGGCUCCAGUUGUCCCAGAGAUGCGACCUGUGCUAGGAUGUGGCCACUCUAAGGACAUCUCCUGUGAGGACAUGUCUACUCACCAUGUAGAUGUGUGGAGCUGGUCCAUAGAACCACCAGUGAACAUCUGCCAAACCAUUUGUUCAUUCAGGUCUGGAUGUCCAGCUCGAACCCUUCUGAAUACCCAAGGAGUAUUUCGUAUAUAUGUUUGCUCUUAGCCCCUCUUUUUGUAGGAACCAGUUAAAGGGUUAAUACGUCUGCAGAACUGCCAAGGGAAAUGGGAGAGCCAGCAAGCCCAGGUCUUCGCUGGUGUCUGUCAUUGCAGGGUCUGUCUUUCAAAGCCUAUAUAAAUAAACUUCCUAGUAAACUCAGCAAUUUUGUCAUCAUAAAGGCUGGCAGCCUUUCCUGGCAAUAAAAUAAACUCUAAUCAUUUCUUCAAAUAAAACACAAAUAGCAGCAAUACAUUCACAGGAGGUUCUGGCCGAUUUUGCUUCUCUUCCCCACCCGCCCCAACCUCCAGCCACCCCACCAUGUGCGUGCCAUGCCAGCCAGUGAUGGAUGGAGAAACGCAAGGGCACUCUGCUGCUAAAUGCCUAAAAGGAAACAGACCCGAUGUCUGCAACGUAAAUCAGGAAUGGGCAAGGAGCUCAAACGAAAUAAGAAACCGCUCUGAUCCUCCUGUCAUGUGGCUUAACCAGAUCAAAAAUACUCCUGCCCCCUCCACAGAUCUUGAGGAUGCUUUCCUUCCCUUUCUCAUGCACACCUAUUUCCUUACCAGCUCUCUUUUGCUACAAAAAAAUAAGCUCUGGUAAUCUCUGGAGAAGCCUGCUCUUGCCAUUUGCUCUCCAUGGUGUGGCUGAUUGAAAACUAUGCUUCGCAAAGAAUAUGUUCAAGGGACAACCACUGCUCCAACAAAAGGAAAACCUUGAGUCAAAAAUACACGUGUGUCAGUGAUGUUGCAUCCCUUUUCCUGUAGAAAACCAACCAGAAACCAGACAAACGUGAGCAGAAAGGAUUGCAAAAGUGGAAAAGAAAGAAAAAAAAGCACGAGUCCUUCCUGCCCCUUGUGCACCUGAACACACUUCUCUUUUGAGGCUUGUUCUGCAAGAUGUAUUGGAGAGCAGAAAAGGGAGAUGGAAAUGGAAAAAGACAUGGAACUAUAAUUUUUCUUAUAACAUUUUAUCUGGUGUGUUUGUUUGGAGAUUAGGAAAAACAAUGAUGGGUUUAUGUGCAGACCCAUGGACGCAAGAAAUUCACAUCCCGUGCUUGCACAAAUUCACUCUGUCCCCAGGAAUGUGCCUGAUCCCUGUUGAAUAACCUGUCCUUCUGCUUGUUGAAUAUUUAGCUGGCGAGCAGCUCCCAGCUCAGCCCCACCACACAUUUGUGCAAUAUCUCCCUGGAAUCCCAGCUCAACUGCAUCUACACUGCAGCACAUAUAGCAGCUACGACUGCUAUUAAACUGCAACAAGACCCAAAUGUGCUCAAUAGGCACCACGGCGGGGGGUGCGCGGUGAUGCCGAGGGCGCAUCCAGAGCACUGUUGCUUUCUGCAUCCAUUUCAAACACAAGCACAAUAUGGUCCGAUUUCAGUCAUCUGUAAAAUAGAGCUGCUGGCUCUUGUCCUAGUGUGGCGUCAGCCUCUCCAGAUGAUGAAAGUGUGUCACUUGGGGCAGGUCUCCAGCACAGUCCAUCUCCCCCUGCCUUAGAUCUAAGGCAACAGAACUUCUGCCAAGCAUUUUGUGUCCGGUGGAGGGGUUUUUUGCAAUGAAAAUACCCAGUUCUGGAAAGUUCAGAGCGUUUUGAAAAAGUUUCACUGAGCAGCUUGGCUGAGAAAUGUUCGUUAAAAAUCUGAGGACAUGGGUUUCUUCCAAUAUAUAUUCUGAAAUAAAACAUCGUGGCUUUUCCACGCAAAACUACCUUUGCUUUUUUAAUAUCCUUAUUUUGUUUUGCUUCAGUUUUUGAAUGCAAUUUUCACUUGCUCAAAACUUCAAGGCAGUGUUUCUCUCUUAACCUUAAGCAAAAUAGUUCACUCUACCUGAAACUGGUAUCAUUUUGGUUUGGUUUGAUGAACUAAAAAAAAAAAAAAAAAGAA